AUCUGUGAUGAAUCUAUCGCUCCCUGAAGAGGGAGAGGAAAGUCCGGACAGCGUAGGGCACCGUGCCAUCUAACAGAUGGGCUUCGUCGAUGACGGAGACAGAAAGUGUCACAGAAAACUACCGCCAUGAAGGAAUUAAACCCAUUAUGGUAAGGGUGAAAACGUGUGGUAAGAGCGCACGCAUAAUCCGGGCAACCGGAAUAUGGGAUAAACCUUGCGGGCUGAAAUGCCAUGUACACUUCAAUUCCUUUGACCAUUCCGAUGGGAUAAGGUAUCUGGCGGCUCGCUGGAGUAUGUAAAUAAUUGAGGGGGGUAGGCAGCUAGAGUCGCGGCAGCAAUGCCCGACCCAGAUAAAUGAUAGAUAUCCUGCUUUACUGUAGGACAACAGAAUCCGGCUUAUCCAUCACAGAUGCAC
rnacentral:RNase_P_RNA from 1 species